AUUGAACGCUGGCGGCAGGCCUAACACAUGCAAGUCGAACGAGUGGCGGACGGGUGAGUAAUGUCUGGGAAACUGCCCGAUGGAGGGGGAUAACUACUGGAAACGGUAGCUAAUACCGCAUACCAUCGGAUGUGCCCAGAUGGGAUUAGCUUGUAGGUGAGGUAACGGCUCACCUAGGCGACGAGCCCUAGCUGGUCUGAGAGGAUGACCAGCCAAACUGGAACUGAUACACGGUCCAGACACCUACGGGAGGGAGCAGUGGGGAAUAUGGCACAAUGGGCGCAAGCCUGAGGCAGCCAUGCCGAGUGUAUGAAGAAGGCCUUCGGGUUGUAAAUUACUUUCAGCGGGGAGGCGUUACCCGCAGAAGAAGCAACGCCUAACUCCGGGCCAGCCGCCGCGGUAAGUC
rnacentral:rRNA from 1 species